CGUGUGGUUCUAUUUUGUUGGUUAUGGGACCGCCGUAAUGAUUAAUAGGGACAGUCGGGGGCAUCAGUAUUCAAUUGUCAGAGGUGAAAUUCUUGGAUUUAUUGAAGACUAACUACUGCGAAAGCAUUUGCCAAGGAUGUUUUCAUUAAUCAGGAACGAAAGUUAGGGGAUCGAAGACGAUCAGAUACCGUCGUAGUCUUAGCCAUAAACUAUGCCGACUAGGGAUCGGGCGAUGUUACUUUUUGACUCGCUCGGCACCUUACGAGAAAUCAAAGUUUGUGGGUUCCUGGGGGAGUAUGGUGGCAACGCUGAAACUUAAAGAAAUUGACGGAAGGGCACCACCAGGGGUGGAGCCUGCGGCUUAAUUUGACUCAACACGGGGAAACUCACCAGGUCCAGACACAAUGAGGAUUGACAGAUUGAGAGCUCUUUCUUGAUUUUGUGGGUGGUGGUGCAUGGCCGUUCUUAGUUGGUGGAGUGAUUUGUCUGCUUAAUUGCGAUAACGAACGAGACCUUAACCUGCUAAAUAGCCCGUGUUGCUUCUGCAGCACGCCGGCUUCUUAGAGGGACUAUCGGCUCAAGCCGAUGGAAGUUUGAGGCAAUAACACUUGACGCACAGGCCUGUCAAAGUACGCCUCUUUAAAGAUAACUGCUAGUCCAGCAGCUUAACCUCCGUGGGGGAAGCCCCUCACUGUCGGGCGGAGGAGUUCCGGUCGCCGGGACUCUGC
rnacentral:rRNA from 1 species